UAAUAACUAAAGGACCAUAGAAUUGAGGG
rnacentral:piRNA from 1 species